rnacentral:miRNA from 1 species
CCUGAACUCACUAUGUAGACCAGGAUGGCCUUGAACUCACAAGGAUCUGCCUGCCUCUGCCCCUUGAGUGCUGGGAU